UUCCUGACUGAAGGCAGGACUUCAGGGAGCGCAAACCCACGCGAAUCAAACACUACGUUAUGUUUUUGGAAGUCUGAAACACAUUACCGAUGUGCUCAUUUUACAUUUGCGUGUUAUGUCACCCCACCCAAACCCGACCAACCCCGCGGACCGUAACCCCUACAAACGUGUAGGCAACUACGAACUAAAAAAAUCAUUUCGUUUUUGACUGAGAACCAACAAGUAGGCCUACAACUACAUGGCAAAGAGCCACAAAACCUAUGUUUGUAACCUGAAACGACAGCUCGGGACGUCUCAGGUCAUUGGCAGUCCCAUGCCAGUUCAUCCCAGUUCUCCUGUCGUCACAGGCUGCACUUCCUUAGCAACAGAUGGGAAAGGUUGGCCACGUUAACCCCUUAAGUAACCUUUCUUGGAGAUGAUUGAUUGAUGCUGUGCGGAGGCUGAUCGCUCGAGGAACAUGCAAACACUGACCGACUUCAAUGAGGGGCUCGCUUUCAAGGACACCUUGUGUUACUCAGGUUAAUCUAUGGAGCCAAACUUCAACGUGGGAGGUGAAGUUUACACCUUUUGAGCAAUGGGACAUAGUCAAAGAAUUAGCUCAACUGUAUUGGGCUUUGGCCGUGACUGCAGGAGGGCGUAUAUACCCAUACAAUACAUCCUCAUCAAAACUCCCAUUCCAGAUGGUUUGAUCCAGGGA